GCAAGUCGAGCGGAAACGACAUUAUUGAUUCUUCGGAGGAUUUAAUGGGCGUCGAGCGGCGGACGGGUGAGUAAUGCCUAGGAAAUUGCCUUGAUGUGGGGGAUAACCAUUGGAAACGAUGGCUAAUACCGCAUAAUGCCUACGGGCCAAAGAGGGGGAUCUUCGGACCUCUCGCGUCAAGAUAAGCCUAGGUGAGAUUAGCUAGUUGGUGAGGUAAUGGCUCACCAAGGCGACGAUCCCUAGCUGGUCUGAGAGGAUGAUC
rnacentral:rRNA from 1 species